rnacentral:tRNA from 1 species
AGUUUUAUAUUCAAAAAUGAUUUAAAAUUGCAAAUUUUAAGGAGUAAAGAAAUUUACUAAGGCUU